rnacentral:rRNA from 9 species
CGAAAUCUAUUUAGGUAGAGCGUCACGAUUAGACUCUGGGGGGUAGAGCACUGAAUGGGCUAGGGGUCCUCACCGGAUUACCAAACCUUCUCAAACUCCGAAUACCCAGAAGUUAUGCGUGGCAGACACACGGCGGGUGCUAACGUCCGUCGUGAAAAGGGAAACAACCCAGACCGCCAAUUAAGGCCCCUAAGUAAUAGCUAAGUGCGAAACGAUGUGGAGGUGCUGAGACAAUCAGGAGGUUGGCUUAGAAGCAGCCAUCCUUUAAAGAAAGCGUAACAGCUCACUGGUCUAGUUAAGCCGUCCUGCGCCGAAGAUGUAUCGGGGCUAAAGCCAUGCACCGAAGCUGCGGACUUGUCUUCGGACAAGUGGUAGCGGAGCGUUCCGUAGGCCGAUGAAGGUGGACCCGCGAGGGCCGCUGGAGGUAUCGGAAGUGAGAAUGCUGACAUGAGUAGCGAUAAAGAGUGUGAGAGACACUCUCGCCGAAAGUCCAAGGGUUCCUGCGCAAUGCUAAUCAGCGCAGGGUUAGUCGGCCCCUAAGGCGAGGCAGAAAUGCGUAGUCG